rnacentral:rRNA from 1 species
GACGAACGCUGGCGGCGUGCUUAACACAUGCAAGUCGAACGGAAAGGCCCUGCUUUUGUGGGGUGCUCGAGUGGCGAACGGGUGAGUAGACUUGAUUUACCCUCCCCUGUAUUUUGGUUUACUUUUUGUAACCGGGGUCGAUACCCGUAUGGAGCCCCUUGUGUUAGGUUGGGGGUGGAAAGUUUUGGCGGGUGGGGUUUGACUCUCGGCUUAUCUGCUUGUUGGUGGGGUAGUGGCGUUCCAAGGCCUUGGCGGGUAGCCGGCCUGAGUGGGUGACCGGCCACAUUGGGACUGAGAUACGGCCCAGACUCCUACGGGAGGCAGCAGUGGGGAAUAUUGCCCGAUGGGCGGAAGCCUGAUGCAGCAACGCCGCGUGCGGGAUGACGGCCUUCGGGUUGUAAACCGCUUUCGCCUGUGACGCAGCGUGAGUGACGGUCAUGGGUAAAGAAGCACCGGCUAACUACGUG